AUGUCAUUUUCCUCACAUGGGGGUCCAAAAUGCAAGAUCGCCCUUACGUCCUUCUUCCUUCUUCAUCUUCUCAUUCUCAAUUCUUUGUUCUCUCUCACAGCCUCUAUUACUGUUAUUGCGUUUGCGCCAUUUGCUGUCGUUAUGAGCCCAAGCCCACUGUAGCAUACUUCCCUUCAUCAGAGUUGAGUCUCCUCGACGUCGUAAGGGGGACCGAGAUUCCUUGGCUUUGCACCAAGAAGUUGAUUCCUUGACACUGUCAGUAGUAUAUGAUCAUUUUGAUAACAAGACCAAGAAGUUAAUUGGUCAGGACAAUUGUUCAAUGUACCUGAACAAUAGUCUUGUUGGUGACUCAAGUGGUUUCUAUCAAUUUAGAAAAUAAUUCUGCUGUUUCAUCAAACUCGCUAAAUAA